rnacentral:rRNA from 1 species
GACGUAGGGGGCCAGCGUUGUUCGGAAUUACUGGGUGUAAAGGGUUCGUAGGCGGUGCGGCAAGUCGGGAGUGAAAUCUCUGGGCUUAACCCAGAGGCUGCUUCCGAAACUGCUGUGCUUGAGUGUGGGAGAGGCGCGUGGAAUUGCAGGUGUAGCGGUGAAAUGCGUAGAUAUCUGCAGGAACACCCGUGGCGAAAGCGGCGCGCUGGACCACUACUGACGCUGAGGAACGAAAGCCAGGGGAGCGAACGGG